UGAUCAUCAUAUCAAUGACUGGACGUUUGAUCACACGUGUUACGUCACACGCGGCGCUUGCGCCAAAAUGUGUCUUCCGCGCGGAAAGCGACCGCAAACAUUUGAUCAGAUCGACGACAAUGCAAAUAUUCUCACAAAAAAC
ensembl:ncRNA F13H6.12 ncRNA